UACGUAGGGUGCAAGCGUUAAUCGGAAUUACUGGGCGUAAAGCGUGCGCAGGCGGUUUUGUAAGUCUGUCGUGAAAUCCCCGGGCUCAACCUGGGAAUUGCGAUGGAGACUGCAAGGCUAGAAUCUGGCAGAGGGGGGUAGAAUUCCACGUGUGAGCAGUGAAAUGCGUAGAGAUGUGGAGGAACACCGAUGGCGAAGGCAAUCCCCUGGACCUGUACUGACGCUCAUGCACGAAAGCGUGGGGAGCAAACAGG
rnacentral:rRNA from 1 species